GUGGGGAAUAUUGGACAAUGGGCGCAAGCCUGAUCCAGCCAUGCCGCGUGAGUGAUGAAGGCCUUAGGGUUGUAAAGCUCUUUCACCGAUGAAGAUAAUGACGGUAGUCGGAGAAGAAGCCCCGGCUAACUUCGUGCCAGCAGCCGCGGUAAUACGAAGGGGGCUAGCGUUGUUCGGAUUUACUGGGCGUAAAGCGCACGUAGGCGGUUUGUUAAGUGAGAGGUGAAAUCCCAGAGCUCAACUCUGGAACUGCCUUUCAUACUGGCAAGCUAGAGUCCGGAAGAGGUAAGUGGAACUCCUAGUGUAGAGGUGGAAUUCGUAGAUAUUAGGAAGAACACCAGUGGCGAAGGCGGCUUACUGGUCCGGAACUGACGCUGAGGUGCGAAAGCGUGGGGAGCAAACAGGAUUAGAAACCCUAGUAGUCC
rnacentral:rRNA from 1 species